rnacentral:miRNA from 1 species
UCAUUGUGUGUGUGUGUGUGUGUGUGUGUGUGUGAAUCUCUCUCUCUCUCUCUCUCUCUCUCUCUCUCCAUAUAGACACACACACACACACACACACACAGCGC